GGCGAGGUGGCGGAAAGAAUACGCGCUGGGCGUGCAAGUCCAGAGAUUCAGGUUCAAGUCCUGGCCUUGCCUCCA
rnacentral:tRNA from 1 species